rnacentral:rRNA from 1 species
UACGUAGGGGGCAAGCGUUGUCCGGAUUUAUUGGGCGUAAAGAGCGUGUAGGCGGCUUUGCAAGUCCGUUGUGAAAACUCGAGGCUCAACCUCGAGACGCCGGUGGAAACUGCAAAGCUAGAGUCCGGAAGAGGAGAGUGGAAUUCCUGGUGUAGCGGUGAAAUGCGCAGAUAUCAGGAGGAACACCCAUGGCGAAGGCAGCUAACUGGGCAUUAUCUGACGCUGAGGCGCGAAAGCGUGGGUAGCAAACAGG